AGUGUUUCGAUUAUUCUGUAAGACCCUUCCCAAUUCAGAGAUAAUUUUCUCUAAUCCAGAUGUCUUGAAACUUCAAUUUUUUUUAGGAUCAGGUCUCCUGAAUGGAAGACCUUCAGCUUAACUUUUACAUUAUAAUAUCGAGCUACUCUUUGCCGAUAUGCUAUCAUCUGAAGUUGAGCUUGUUGUCGGACUUCUCGAAGUAGAUCUAGAUCAGCUCUCCAGGAUUCUGAAUUACUCGGCUCACUGUAUUGUUCUAUUCUUGCUGAUGGUAAUUUGAUCUCAAAUGGGAUCAUCACUUCUGUUCUAUAAACCAGAAUGAAUGAUAAUUCUUUCAUUGGUAUACGAGGAGUUGUUCGGUAUGCCCAU
rnacentral:lncRNA from 1 species